UAUCCAACAGCAUAAAAUAGUUCCCAAGAGCAUAAAAUAGUUCCCAACAGCGCCAGCGCAGGGGGCAAAACAGAGCGACCAAAUGGGGGCACCCUCAGGGGAGUUGCGCUCAUCUGGAGCGAGACGCCAGCCUGGGAAAGCGGAACCCCUUUCCCGCCCCGCCCCGAGGACUCACGCUCAGGUGCAACGCCGAGACUCCCGGGGGAAAGAGAGGUGACCGUCUCGGCGCGACCGCCCACACCUCUUGCUCCAAAUGACCCCAGCACACAGGAGAGGUCCUCUCAGCGUGGGACUCCGUCUCUCCCGAAGGCAGGGAGCACAACGAAGCGGCCACUCGUCUCUGCAGCCGCGCUACCGGCCCGCAGCCUGGCUCGCAGGCAAACAGUCACAGCAUCCUGCCACAGAGAGCUCAGAUUUGUGUUCCACACCAGUCCAGUGUGCUCCCUAACUGCAGGCAGCACUGAUUAAGGUCUUCAAGGGUCUCCUGAAACACUUCCUAGACCUAAUUGAAGGACAAAGCUCUUUUCAAGAGGUGAGAUGUGACUUUUGCCUUCCACCACGACUGUGCCCGGUCUUGGGUAUGUCUUUAUCAGCAGCAGGACAAUGGACUCCUACAGUAAAUUGGUACCAGUAGAGUGGGCGCUGCUGAAAAGAUACCCAAAAAUGUGAAAGUGACUUUGGAACUGGGUAACACGCAGAGGUUGGAACAGUUUGGAGGGCUCAGAAUAAGACAGAAAAAUGUGGGAAAGUUUGGAACUUCCUAGAGACUUGUUGAAUGGCUUUGUGCAAAAUGCUGAUAAUGACAUGGACAAUGAAAUCCAGGUUAAUAUGGUCUCUGAUGGAGAUGAAGAACUUGUUGGGAACUGGAGCAAAGGUGACUCUUGUUUUAGCAAAGAGACUGGUGGCAUUUUGCCCCUGCUCUAGAGAUUUUUGGAACUUUGAACUUAAGAGAGAUGAUUUAGGUAUCUGGCAGAAGAAAUUUCUAAGCAGCAAAGCACUCAAGAGGUGACUUGAGUGCUGUUAAAGGCAUACAGUUUUAAAAGGGAAACAGUAUAAAAGUUCAGAAAAUUUGCAGCCUGACAAUGUGAUAGAAAGGAAAAUCCCAUUUUCUGAGGAGAAAUUCAAGCUGGCUGCAGAAAUUUGCAUAUGUAAUGAGGAGCUGAAUGUUAAUCCCCAAGACAAUGGGAAAAAUGUCUCCAGGGCAUGUUAGAGGUUUUCACGGCAGCUCCUUCCAUCACAGGCCUGGAAGCCUAAAAGGUAAAAGUGGUUUCUUGGGCCAGGCCCAGGGUCCCUCUGCUGUGUGCAGUCUAGGGACUUGAUGCCCUGCAUCCCAGCUGCUCCAGCUGUGACUAAAAGGAGCCAAGGUACAGCUCAGUCCAUGGCUUCAGAGGAUGCAAGCCCCAAGCCUUGGCAGCUUCCAUGUGGUGUUGAGCGUGCCAGUGCACAGAAGUCAAGAAUUGGGGUUUGGGAACCUCCGCCUAGGUUUCAGAGGAUGUAUGGAAAUGCCUAGAUGUCCAGGCAGAAGUUUCCUGCAGGGGCGGGGCCCUCAUGGAGAACCUCUGCUAGGGCAGUGUGGAAGGGAAAUGUGGGAUCAGAGCCCCCACACAGAAUCCCUGCUGGGACACUGCCUAGUGGAGAUGUGAGAAGAGGGCCACCAUCCUCCAGACCCCAGAAUAGUAGAUCCACUGAUAUCUUGCACCAUGCACCUGGAAAACCUGCAGAAGUCAAUGCCAGCCUGUGAAAGCAGCCAGUAGGGAGGCUGUACCAUGCAAAGCCACAGGGGUGGAGCUGCCCAAGACCAUGGAAAUCCAUCUUGCAUCAGCAUGACUUGGAUGUGAGACAUGGAGUCAAGGGAGAUCAUUCUCGAGUUUUAAGAUUUGACUGCCCUGCUGGAUUUUAGACUUACAUGGAACUUGUAGCCCCUUUGUUUUGGCCAAUUUCUUCCAUUUGGAAUAGGCGUAUUUACCCAAUACCUGUACCCCCAUUGUAUCUAAGAAGUAACUAACUUGCUUUUGAUUUUACAGGCUCAUAGGUGGAAGGGACUUACCUUGUCUUAGGUGAGACUUUGAACUAUGGACUUUUGAGUUAAUGCUAAAUGAGUUAAGACUUUGGGGAACUUUUGGGAAGCCAUGAUUAGUUUUGAAAUGUGAGGAAAUGAGAUUUGGGAGGGGCCAGGGCAGAAUGAUAUGGUUUGGCAGUGUCCCCACUCAAAUCUCAUCUUCAACUGUGGCUCCUAUUAUUCUCUGGUUUUGUGAGAGGGACCCGGAGAUAAUUUUAUCAUAGGGACAUGUUCCCCCAUACUGUUCUCAUGGUAGUGAAUAAGUCUCAUGAGAUCUGAUGGUUUUAUAAGGGGAAACCCCUUUCACUUGGCGCUCAUUCUCUUUUCUUGUCUGCCACCAGGUGAGACUUGCCUUUCUCCUUCUGCCAUGAUUGUGAGGCUUCUUCAGCCACGUGGAACUGUGAGUCAUUAAAUCUCUUUCUUUUGUAAAUCACCCAGUCUUGGGUAUGUCUUUAUCAGCAGCAUAAAAUGGACUAAUAUUUAAUAUAAUUACUAAUAUAUUUAUGUAUAUUCACAUUGUU
rnacentral:lncRNA from 1 species